rnacentral:lncRNA from 1 species
UGUAUUUUCUUGUACUUCUUCGCCACUCUUUCCAGGUAGAUCUGCUUUGUAAUCAGAUGAUACUGAAGAAAAUGAGGGGAAUCUACUGGCUGAGGGAGGAGUCGAAUCGUAAACAGGUGUUUCGUGGUGGUCGCCCACCAACCCACAAAGAUCAUGAAUUGCUGACUCCUCCCGAGAGAGAAGUGCAGUAAUGAAAGCAGGCUCCUCAUCAUGGUGAUAAACAUCCUCCAUCCCUCUUGCAACAUGAAUAUCUGAUCCUCCAAAAGAAGUACCUGAUUUCUCAUGAAAAUCAACUUCCCGCUCAGAAACCAACAUUGCUUCAUCCUCACUAAUAUGCGCUAUCUCUUCUUCUAUCUCUGAUAAAGACGCAUCACCAUCACUGGAAUCCUCUUCAUCCUGUUUUGUGUUAUCGGGAGUUUCUCCGUCCAUCAUGUUUGAUUGCUCAUGGUGUGUUGCACUUCCCAGUAUUAUCUCAGCCACAUCACGAUGAGGAUUUUUGCUAUCAGCUUGUUCAUCACCAUCGGAAUCUUCUGACGAGUGGCCUUUUUCUUCAUCAUGGUCAGAAGCCAUAUCAGUUUUAGCUAUCUCGGUUUCUCGAUCAGCAUCAUCUUCAUCCACCUUCUUUUCGUCAUCCUCCAGGAUUGUGCAGACAGAUUCAGUAUCAGGUACAGAACUGAGUUUUGAUUCACUAACUUCACUGAGCUGCCUUUCAAACGGAUAAUAGCUCGCUCUCUCGUGUGCUAAUCUUUCCAGCACGAAGAAAGGUCGUAGCCUAUCAUGUCUGGGACCUCCGAGCAUCGAUGGACCUACACUGAAACUCUCAUGUCUUCUGAACACUGGCUCCUUAGGUUGUGGAGAAGAGAACUCUUCCUCGAAACCAUCACCCUUGAGGUCUGGCUUCUCUUCGUUUGGCUCGUACGGAAGAUCAAACGGGUUUCUCCUCGCGAACAUAAUGGACGGAGCAGAGCCAGGGAUAGGUGGUAGUCCCAUACCAUCAUAUGAAAGAUCAAAUGGAUUAUGCCUUGCGGUUGAGAUUGGCGGCAUAUUAAAUGGAACAUCAGCACAGUCGAAAUCAAUGAGAUUUCUCUCUGCCACCAUUCUCAUAUUGUUACGAGCCCUUCUCCUGGCGAUAAGACUCUCCAACCGUUGGUUUCUUUCGAGCUCGAGACUUCCUAGAUCCAUGACGUUCUUUUGGUCAGCCUCUGUCCAUUUGAUAGGUGAUUUAAUUUCAUCUUCCUUCUUCUCCUCUUCCUCUUCCUCUUCUUCCUUCUUGUUGUCGUCCUCUUCACCAUGACUUUCGCUGUUAACAUCAGACUCCGUUCCUUCAUCGCUAUCACUACUACUCAUAUCUGGCUCCUCUGAAGUUGCAUUUGAUCCAUCAAGAUCUGCAAUACCAAGACCUGGAUUCUCUGAGUGUAAAAGCGGGUGAAGCUCAUCAAGCAUGGGGAUGAUGUCUGUCAUAGAAGGGUCAGGUGAAGAACUUUCCGCACCAUCAGAACUAGAAUCCAGUGAGUCAUCAUCGCCCUCCUCAUGCCUCAUUGGUCUCCAAGGUGAAACUGGAGAUACAUCCACCUGAUCUUCCUUUGAAUCCUCCAUCAUAUCAUCUAAAGAUCCACCAUGUGAAACUCGCUUCCCGUCAUCAUUUCCAAUCAACUUCUCCUCUUCUCCAUCUCCCUUCUUCUCCAAAUCCAAAUCAAAUGCUCUCUCCUCAAACCUUACCUGGGUAUCUCGUUCCACUAAUCUAUCAUCAUCAUCUUUCUCCGUGCUCACGCACCUCUCAACCGUAAAACUCUCACCCUCUCUCUCAACAACACUAGGAUCCCUCGUAACCUCAGCUGUGAAAAGAGCAGCCUCGUUAACAGUAGCCUCCGGUUCUGUUUCGAUCUCAGGUAUAAUAUUUGGCUCUCCGAAACUAAGAAUCGUUCCAAGCAAAACGAAUGUGCAAACCAAAACAGGAGAUGCAGCUACCAAAGGAGAAAACAAAAGAGGACAAGCUCUAUACAGAAGAUACACAACCCCAACAAAGCCGAGGAGAUAGGGAUGACUGCAGAUCCAUCUAUAGGAAGUUCUGAUCAUGAUGACGAAUAACCUCCGUAUAUGAACUCUGAACUCAGACCGAUCACUGAUCAUACUGUUUCCUUCUUCUUGUCCAGGUUGUUUUCUGUAUAAAGAAGUAAGAGCAACAAUCACGAAUCAGAUGGUGCAAGAUAACAUUACUAGAAUAAAUCUGAAACGAAGUUGACAUUUAUUAGAUAUGCAACUUUCAACCAUAAAUAAUAAUAAUCGGAUCUAACGCACACGAGUAGAGAGAGAAAGGUAAAUCAUUUCAAUCAGAUGGAGAAUUAGAUCGAGUAUUCUGAUGAACUCACUCACCAGUCUCACCAGGUACGAGCAAACAGAUCGUGGAGAAAACAGUUUGACUAAACUAUACAGUGAAGAUGAAGAAGAAGAAAGAAUAGGACGAGUGGGCUAAUAUGAUUGUUUGUUGUUUCGCUUUCUUUACAGCAAAACAAAUGUAAUUCUUCGUUGGCCUCUAUUUGUAUCUCCUGAUAUUACGGUGGUGGCGGUGGCUACUACUUUCGGCACAAUUAUUAUUAUUGUUUUUUUUUCCGAGCAGGUUUCUUCUUCUUUUUACUUGACCAAAAAGACGAUUUAUUUCAAAAUUAGUAAAUAUUUCUUUACGUAGAUAUGUAUAAACAACAUUAACCUUUUUUUGGAAACAUAAAACAGCAUUAACCUAAACUACAAACAUCCAUCUAUAGUACUAUUAUUAAUAUAACUCAAAGUGCUGCAGAAAUUACUUAAUAUUGCUAUGUUUACUUAAUAACUCAAAAUGCCACAAUGUUUAAUAUGGAAAUAUUUUGAUCUACACGUCCGUGAAAGUAUUUUUUAUAGAUAAAGUUAGGAUCAGUUAUUCUUCUAAUAUGUUUUCAUAUUAUGUUGGUUACACAUAUUGUUAUUUUAUGAUAGAUUUAUUUUGCUGAAUAUAAAAUCUACUUAUUAAAAAACUCGGAAGAUUAAAAACAAUAACAUACUCCCUCCGUUUUAUAAUUUUGGCUAAAAGCACAAAAAAUUAAGAAAAUUAUUAUGUUUUAAAAAGUAUUGUAUAAUAAAUAGGUUAGAUAUAAAUUAAUCCAUCAAAAAUAAGUCUAUUAAUAUGAUUGGUCAUACUAUAUUUAAUAAAUGUAAAAAUUACUUAGAAAUAUGAAAACUGGUUUGUUACAGAUUUUCAUUCCAUUUUUAACUAAUUUUAACCACUUCUUUUAUUAUCUUUCUAAUUAAUUCGACAACAUUUAUUACAAAUUAUAAAACACAACUUACCUAUUUAAAAUUUUUUAUUACAUCUUCCUUUUUUUCAUUUUUCCUAACUACUUCGUUAGUUAUAUUUAUAAUAAUAAUUAAAAAUCACUUAUUUUACAUGUUAACCAUAAUAAUUUCAUAGAUUUGAAUGAAAUUGUUUCAUUCGUAACAAAAAUUCAAACUGAUUAACAAAUUAUUUUUUUAUUUGUUUACAAAAUCAGUUAGACAUAGUCAUCCAAAUACCCAUUCGAAUAUGAAUCAUGUUUUGAAACCACGUUUUUCGAGUUUUAAAAUUAAACUUCAUUCGCAUAUUACAAAUUUUUGGACAGGGUUCAAGUUGGAUUUUUCCAGAUCCGGAUAUGUUCGUAAAAACUUAAAAAUUAAACUCUGUGCAGACGCACAGAUCAAGUUAUAGUUUACAUUAUAAACAUAGAAUAUUUAGCAGUAGAAUUGGUUCCAACCAUGCUUUGUCCCCACUAUACAACGGUUAAUUUCCCCUCUUGCCCACUUAUACUUCCCUUUUUAUUUAUUUUUAUCAUUCCCCUCCCCCCCCUACAGUUGAAUUAUUUUGACCAUCAAUUCCAACAUCCGAAAUGAGAAGGCUUGUCUCCCCUGUAACAUGAGUGCUACUCUCUCCUACUUCCCUUGUACUUGUUUCAGUCUCACCAGGACCUAUGCUUUCAGAACAUACUUCACGUUCGUUAUCUGUAUUUUCUUGUACUUCUUCGCCACUAUUUCCAGGUAGAUCUGCUUUGUAAUCAGAUGAUACUGAAGAAAAUGAGGGGAAUCUACUGGCUGAGGGAGGAGUCGAAUCGUAAACAGGUGUUUCGUGGUGGUCGCCCACCAACCCACAAAGAUCAUGAAUUGCUGACUCCUCCCGAGAGAGAAGUGCAGUAAUGAAAGCAGGCUCCUCAUCAUGGUGAUAAACAUCCUCCAUCCCUCUUGC